rnacentral:rRNA from 1 species
UACGUAGGGGGCGAGCGUUGUCCGGAGUUACUGGGCGUAAAGCGUGCGCAGGCGGUUUUGUAAGCCAGAUGUGAAAUCCCCGGGCUUAACCUGGGAAUGGCAUUUGGGACUGCAAAGCUUGAGUGCGGCAGAGGGGGAUGGAAUUCCGCGUGUAGCAGUGAAAUGCGUAGAUAUGCGGAGGAACACCGAUGGCGAAGGCAAUCCCCUGGGCCUGCACUGACGCUCAUGCACGAAAGCGUGGGGAGCAAACAGG